rnacentral:rRNA from 1 species
CAGCAGCCGCGGUAAUACAGAGGGUGCAAGCGUUAAUCGGAAUUACUGGGCGUAAAGCGCGCGUAGGUGGUUUGUUAAGUUGGAUGUGAAAGCCCCGGGCUCAACCUGGGAACUGCAUCCAAAACUGGCAAGCUAGAGUACGGUAGAGGGUGGUGGAAUUUCCUGUGUAGCGGUGAAAUGCGUAGAUAUAGGAAGGAACACCAGUGGCGAAGGCGACCACCUGGACUGAUACUGACACUGAGGUGCGAAAGCGUGGGGAGCAAACAGGAUUAGAUACCCGCGUAGUCCCUGUCUCUUAUAC